AGUGAACGCUGGCGGUAGGCCUAACACAUACAAGUCGAACGGCAGCACAGUAAGAGCUUGCUCUUACGGGUGGCGAGUGGCGGACGGGUGAGGAAUACAUCGGAAUCUACUUUUUCGUGGGGGAUAACGUAGGGAAACUUACGCUAAUACCGCAUACGACCUACGGGUGAAAGCAGGGGAUCUUCGGACCUUGCGCGAUUGGAUGAGCCGAUGUCGGAUUAGCUAGUUGGCGGGGUAAAGGCCCACCAAGGCGACGAUCCGUAGCUGGUCUGAGAGGAUGAUCAGCCACACUGGAACUGAGACACGGUCCAGACUCCUACGGGAGGCAGCAGUGGGGAAUAUUGGACAAUGGGCGCAAGCCUGAUCCAGCCAUACCGCGUGGGUGAAGAAGGCCUUCGGGUUGUAAAGCCCUUUUGUUGGGAAAGAAAAGCAGCAGGUUAAUACCCCGCUGUUCUGACGGUACCCAAAGAAUAAGCACCGGCUAACUUCGUG
rnacentral:rRNA from 1 species